AUUGUAGGAGUUUCGAAACGCAUUUUGUCCUUGGCGAUUGGUAUAUAAGGAGUAACAGUAGGAGUAGCGGCAACUGUUUGGCUUCCUUCGAGUCAAGUGCAAAAUUACUUCGAAAGAAAAAGUGGUAAAACUUUGCUUUCAUGAUGAUCUCGAAUUACAUUGUAUCCGCAGUCAUGCUUGCUGCAUAUGUGACCUAUGUAGCAGCUGCUAAAAUGCUCCCUGGUCGCUAAAUGUCGGAUUACGUUAAAACUCCACAACAUGAUCCUCCAAAUUAGCCGCAUUAAGGCAGAAGACUAUACCGAAGACCUGGCUUUAAUACUAAUGAAACACAUUCCAAGUUCUCCACUCGAAAUGUUUUCAUAUUUCACCUGCAUAUAUAAUAUUUUGUUUGUCAAAAAAAUGCGUUUUAUAAUUUAAUAUUUUCAUAUAAUUGCAGAUUGGUAACGAGAUAAAAAAACAUUUUUUGCUGCUA
rnacentral:lncRNA from 1 species